rnacentral:rRNA from 1 species
AUGAUAAUAGAUAGGGUAGAGGUAGAAACUAUCAAUUCUUUUUCGAAAUUGGAAUUAUUUAAAGAAGUCUAUGGACUGAUAUCGAUUCUACCCAUUUUGACCCUCCUUUUGGGAAUAACAAUAGAGGUACUCGUAAUUGUGUGGUUAGAAAGAGAAAUAUCUGCGUCGAUACAACAACGUAUUGGUCCUGAAUAUGCUGGGCCCCUGGGCCUUCUUCAAUCUAUAGCAGAUGGGACUAAGCUACUUUUUAAAGAAGGUAUUCUGCCAUCCCGAGGAGAUAUUUCUUUAUUUAGCAUUGGACCCUCUAUAGCAUUCAUAUCAGUUUUAUUAAGUUUUUAG